GACGAACGCUGGCGGCGUGCUUAACACAUGCAAGUCGAGCGGAAAGGCCCCUUCGGGGGUACUCGAGCGGCGAACGGGUGAGUAACACGUGAGUAAUCUGCCCUUGGCUUCGGGAUAGCCACCGGAAACGGUGAUUAACACCGGAUAUGACCAGCUACUGCAUGGUGGUUGGUGGAAAGUUUUUCGGCCAGGGAUGUGCUCGCGGCCUAUCAGCUUGAUGGUGAGGUAACGGCUCACCAUGGCUUCGACGGGUAGCCGGCCUGAGAGGGUGACCGGUCACACUGGGACUGAGACACGGCCCAGACUCCUACGGGAGGCAGCAGUGGGGAAUAUUGGACAAUGGGCGGAAGCCUGAUCCAGCAACGCCGCGUGAGGGAUGACGGCCUUCGGGUUGUAAACCUCUUUCAGUACCGACGAAGCGCAAGUGGCGGUAGGUACAGAAGAAGCACCGGCCAACUACGUGCCAGCAGCCGCAGUAAAAC
rnacentral:rRNA from 1 species